rnacentral:rRNA from 1 species
UACGUAGGGGGCAAGCGUUGUCCGGAAUCAUUGGGCGUAAAGCGCGUGUAGGCGGUUCGGUAAGUCGGCUGUGAAAGUCCAGGGCUCAACCCUGGGAUGCCGGUCGAUACUGCCGGACUAGAGUUCGGAAGAGGCGAGUGGAAUUCCCGGUGCAGCGGUGAAAUGCGCAGAUAUCGGGAGGAACACCAAUGGCGAAGGCAGCUCGCUGGGACGUUACUGACGCUGAGACGCGAAAGCGUGGGGAGCAAACAGG